rnacentral:tmRNA from 1 species
GGGGGCGAUUGGAUUCGACUGGGUCACCGCAGGUUGAGGUGGCGUGCCGUGGUUGAUCAGCGGGCCACGUAAAAAGCUGAUCACACCAAAAAUGCCAAUCGGCAAUUUGCCUUGGCUGCGUAAAUAAUCGCAGUCCCGACCGAGGAAUCCCCGCCUGAGGAGUCCGAAGGUCGGCCGCAAAAUCAGGCUGGCAUCGGACCACUGUCCGCUACGUCCGAUGCGAGACUCCGUGGCGGACUGGCCGCGAAAGGCUUUGUUUGUUGAGCCGAUCGCGGCGAGACUGAAUCAACAAACUACGCACGUAGAGGCCUCAGCCAAGGGAUCACAGGAUGCGGGUUCGAGUCCUGCCGCCUCCAUUU